rnacentral:rRNA from 1 species
AACGAACGCUGGCGGCAUGCCUAAUACAUGCAAGUCGAACGAUCACUUCGGUGGUAGUGGCGCACGGGUGCGUAACGCGUGGGAAUCUGCCCUUGGGUUCGGAAUAACAUCGGGAAACUGAUGCUAAUACCGGAUGAUGACGUAAGUCCAAAGAUUUAUCGCCCAGGGAUGAGCCCGCGUAGGAUUAGCUAGUUGGUGGGGUAAAGGCCUACCAAGGCGACGAUCCUUAGCUGGUCUGAGAGGAUGAUCAGCCACACUGGGACUGAGACACGGCCCAGACUCCUACGGGAGGCAGCAGUAGGGAAUAUUGGACAAUGGGGGCAACCCUGAUCCAGCAAUGCCGCGUGAGUGAUGAAGGCCUUAGGGUUGUAAAGCUCUUUUACCGGAGAAGAUAAUGACGGUAUCCGGAGAAGAAGCCCCGGCUAACUUCGUGCCAGCCGCCGCAGUAA